GACGUAGGGAGCAAGCGUUGUCCGGAUUUACUGGGCGUAAAGCGCGCGUAGGCGGUCCGUUAAGUGUGAAGUGAAAUCUCCAGCGCUCAACGCGGAAACUGCUUUACAUACUGGCGGACUUGAGGGAUGAAGAGGCUUGUGGAAUUCCUGGUGUACCGGUGAAAUGGGUAGAUAUCAGGAGGAACACCCGAGGCGAAGGCGGCAAGCUGGUCAUCUCCUGACGCUGAGGUGCGAAAGCGUGGGUAGCAAACAGG
rnacentral:rRNA from 1 species